UUUGUGGUUCAAAGUGGUUCAAAUCACAUUAAAAUCAGAUAAUCGAAUUGUAGAGCAAUGGUUGGUUCUGGUUCUAAGUGUGCAAUCGCAAUCGGCUUAUUAAAUGCAUCUCCAGUGCACAGAUAAUAGAUGUACAUGAUGAUCUACUAAGGUAUAUUCAUUGUGUGAUAUCUUAGAAAGUACUAACUUUUUUCAAAAUUUGUUAACAAUUUAAGAUACAAACAGCUCUAAAAUGUAACAUUACCGUUAUUUUCGGGGUUGAAACGAUUACUCAUUUUUGAUUUUCAAAUGACAAUCUAUAUUAAAAAUCCCAUAAAUAAAUAGAGUAUUAGUAGAAAUACGCGUAGGUGUUGACAUUUUUUAUUUUUGUCAACCCGUUGACGAAAUAUUCCACUUUUAAGUACAGGUAUUGCGAGAGUAAUAUAGAUGACUAUUUAAACGCCAUGCGCUAUGCUACCACACAAAAUAUACCCCAAUACGCCUCCUCCUACCCAAACUUAAAAAUGGAAUCUCACCAACGAGUUAACGGAAAUCAAAAUAUAUUUAAACUAAAACUAAUUUCAACUCCAAAAUAUAAUAAGAAUUUAAUAUUGUAGAGCUACUUAUUUUUUAAAUUGCCAAA